AUACGGAGGAUGCGAGCGUUAUCCGGAUUUAUUGGGUUUAAAGGGUGCGCAGGCGGCCAUUUAAGUCAGCGGUUAAAUCGUGGGGCUCAACCCCAUUCUGCCGUUGAUACUGGGUGGCUUGAUUGCGGUCGAGGUUGGCGGAAUUCGUUGUGUAGCGGUGAAAUGCAUAGAUAUGACGAAGAACACCGAUUGCGUAGGCAGCUGACCAGAUCGCAAAUGACGCUCAUGCACGAAAGUGCGGGGAUCGAACAGGAUUAGAUACCCUGGUAGUCCGCACAGUAAACGAUGAAUACUUGUUUUCGGCGAUAUAAUGUCGGAGGCAAAGCGAAAGCGAUAAGUAUUCCACCUGGGGAGUACGCCGGCAACGGUGAAACUCAAAUGAAUUGACGG
rnacentral:rRNA from 1 species